AUUGCACGUUAACACAAAACAACAACACCCUUCUUCAUCUUCAUCACUCUUUCUUGUUCUGAGCUACCCCAUUAACUGAAAAUGUGUUUUUUGAGCUUCGGUGAUGUUGCCGGAACUCUCAAACUUCCGGUGAGUUGGAAGGAGGAGAAUAUAGUUGAGCUUCUCAGCUUCGUUUGACUUGUCCCAGAUUUGCAUGAUUGUGUCAUUAAUGUUACUUCGCUGUUCUUCAGCUUAGCCACAUCAAAAUCUACA